UGUCGCUAGUUGGCAGUAAAGUUCACUUCAGCGUAAUGAUGUUCACAACACCACAGAAGAAGCGUCUAACGCCAUGGAGGCGGCAACGGUGGAAAUCAUAAUAGAUGCAAUAUUGAAAACGACAUAACAAUGAAUGAAACUCAGUCCUGAAUCAGACCUUCGCCGUGAGGAUUAUUCUUGGGAGAUAACCAACAUAUUGUGACAUAUAUAACCAACACCCUUGUCAUCAUGAGUUUCUUAUUUUGCUAGUUUGCAGCUGUUGCCAAAGGCUCGCCUGUCACAGCAUCAUAACCAAAGCAGCCUGGAUCAUCAAAAUGGCUCACUGGAGCAGACCUGAGAAGGAGCUGGAUCUGGAGACUAGGAUACUUAUCUCGCAUUUAACUGGCAUUCAAGAUGAGGAGGACAAGAACUAUCAAAUGGCACUCAAGUUUACCUGGUCCAAUUUUAAAGCACAAAUGAAGAUUUUUAGAAGAAUAUAUCAGCUCUGUUGGUCCAUUCAGUGCAAGUGAAUGGUGGCCAGAACUUUGAAAAGCACUUAAAGGCAGCAAAAAAGUAAUCUAUAAGACUGCAGUGGUC